rnacentral:rRNA from 1 species
UGGGGGAUAGCCCGGGGAAACCCGGAUUAAUACCGCACACGCCCUGAGGGGGAAAGCGGGCCUUGGUGCUCGCGCUAUUGGAUGGGCCCAUGUCGGAUUAGUUUGUUGGUGGGGUAAAGGCCUACCAAGGCGACGAUCCGUAGCUGGUCUGAGAGGAUGAUCAGCCACACCGGGACUGAGACACGGCCCGGACUCCUACGGGAGGCAGCAGUGGGGAAUAUUGGACAAUGGGGGCAACCCUGAUCCAGCCAUGCCGCGUGUGUGAAGAAGGCCUUUGGGUUGUAAAGCACUUUCAGCAGGGAGGAAAAGCCGAUCGUUAAUAGCGGUGGGUGUUGACGUUACCUGCAGAAGAAGCACCGGCUAACUCCGUGCCAGCAGCCGCGGUAAUACGGAGGGUGCGAGCGUUAAUCGGAAUUACUGGGCGUAAAGGGCGCGUAGGCGGUUUGGUAAGCGAGUUGUGAAAGCCCCGGGCUCAACCUGGGAAUGGCAAUUCGAACUGCCAGGCUCGAGUGCAGCAGAGGGCAGUGGAAUUCCCGGUGUAGCGGUGAAAUGCGUAGAUAUCGGGAGGAACACCAGUGGCGAAGGCGACUGCCUGGGCUGACACUGACGCUGAGGUGCGAAAGCGUGGGUAGCAAACAGGAUUAGAUACCCUGGUAGUCCACGCUGUAAACGUUGAGAACUAGUCGUUGGGGCUAUUAGAGCCUUAGUGACGAAGCUAACGCGAUAAGUUCUCCGCCUGGGGAGUACGGCCGCAAGGUUAAAACUCAAAUGAAUUGACGGGGGCCCGCACAAGCGGUGGAGCAUGUGGUUUAAUUCGACGCAACGCGAAGAACCUUACCUGGUCUUGACAUCCUGCGAACUUGCUAGAGAUAGCUUGGUGCCUUCGGGAGCGCAGUGACAGGUGCUGCAUGGCCGUCGUCAGCUCGUGUCGUGAGAUGUUGGGUUAAGUCCCGUAACGAGCGCAACCCUUGUCCUUAGUUGCUAACGGUUCGGCCGAGAACUCUAGGGAAACUGCCGGUGACAAACCGGAGGAAGGUGGGGACGACGUCAGGUCAUCAUGGCCCUUACGGCCAGGGCUACACACGUGCUACAAUGGGGCGCACAGAGGGCAGCGAGCGCGCGAGCGCAAGCGAAUCCCUUAAAACGCCUCUUAGUCCGGAUCGGAGUCUGCAACUGGACUCCAAGAAGUCGGAAUAGAGUUUAAUCGCAGAUCAG